AAAGAGGUUUUUUUUAAAACCAUAAUACAUACAAGGCAGUUGUUU
rfam:Chelonia mydas contig212403, whole genome shotgun sequence.